GCAAGUGUAUCACAAUUAUAUUUCGCAUUAAUUACUCUCAAAGCCUUUUUCACAACUUGCCAAUCGCCUUCUAAGGUUAAUGCGCCUGUUGACUCACGUUGAACACUGUAAUUUUUUCCGUCGUGUACCUUCGAUGCAAGUUAAUUCGUCAGAGGGUUUCAGCCUACCGCUGCAUAAUCUGAUGAAAGUUGUCAUUAAAACACAGCUUUCUGCUCCUCAUGUGUGAGAUAUGGCAUCCAUGAUGGGAGGUGAAUGCGAGGAUAACGUCCUAAUGUUCAGAGGUCAAGCAGCACACAUGCUGCAGAGGAAUGAAUCAUUGCUCUGUGACAGUGGUUAAUAUCAACCCAAGCUUCCUGGUGCCAGUAGUCAUUUUUCUUCAGAGGUGAAUGAGGAUGGCACGUUUCCUUUUAACAUCCCCCAAAACAAAUGCCCCCCUGGGUCACAAGGGGGACGGUGAAAGGUCUGACAUUUUAUUUGAUGGCACACUAUUCUCUACGCCCACGCUCCCCGAAGAAUAUAAAGACAUCACUGGAAAAUGUCAGGAACCUGUACUCAGCACCUCUUUAUCAAAGACACUUCCCAGGUGGCCUCCAAUUGCACUGCCGCAUUCGACGGGCAUUGGGAUUGCUGGUUCAGUGGAAGGAUUGAAGUCAGCGGAAUCAAUUCUCGGCACUCUGAUUUCCCAUGACGG